GUAGGUGGCAAGCGUUGUCCGGAAUUAUUGGGCGUAAAGCGCGCGCAGGCGGUUCUUUAAGUCUGAUGUGAAAGCCCACGGCUCAACCGUGGAGGGUCAUUGGAAACUGGAGAACUUGAGUACAGAAGAGGAAAGCGGAAUUCCACGUGUAGCGGUGAAAUGCGUAGAGAUGUGGAGGAACACCAGUGGCGAAGGCGGCUUUCUGGUCUGUAACUGACGCUGAGGCGCGAAAGCGUGGGGAGCAAACAGGGAUUAGAUACCCUGUAGUCCACGCCGUAAACGAUGAGUGCUAAGUGUUAGGGGGUUUCCGCCCCCUUAGUGCUGCAGCUAACGCAUUAAGCACUCCGCCUGGGGAGUACGGCCGCAAGGCUG
rnacentral:rRNA from 1 species